rnacentral:rRNA from 1 species
AUUGAACGCUGGCGGCAGGCCUAACACAUGCAAGUCGAGCGAGCGGCGGACGGGGGAGUAAUGUCUGGGAAACUGCGUGAUGGAGGGGGAUAACUACUGGAAACGGUAGAUAAUACCGCAUACCAUCAGAUGUGCCCAGGUGGGAUUAGCUAGUAGGUGGGGUAACGGCUCACCGAGGGGACGCUCACUAGCUGGUCUGAGAGGAUGACCAGCCACACUGGAACUGAGACACGGUCCAGACUCCUACGGGAGGCAGCAGUGGGGAAUAUUGCACAAUGGGCGCAAGCCUGAUGCAGCCAUGCCGCGUGUAUGAAGAAGGCCUUCGGGUUGUAAAGCACUUUCAGCGGGGAGGCGUUACCCGCAGAAGAAGCACCGGCUAACUCCGUGCCAGCCGCCGCGGUAAUAC